GAUGAACGCUAGCGGAAGGCAUAAUACAUGCAAGUCGAACGGAUGUAGCAAUACAUUAGUGGCGCACGGGUGCGUAACGCGUAUGCAACCUACCUUCAUCAGGGGGAUAACUACCCGAAAGGGUGGCUAACACCGCAUAAUACUAUUGAGUGGCAUCACUUGAUAUUUAAAUCUGAGGAGGAUGAAGAUGGGCAUGCGUCUGAUUAGCUAGUUGGUGUGGUAACGGCGCACCAAGGCGACGAUCAGUAGGGGAACUGAGAGGUUGGUCCCCCACACUGGCACUGAGAUACGGGACAGGCUCCUACGGGAGGCAGCAGUAGGGAAUAUUGGUCAAUGGUGGGAGCACUGAACCCGCCAUUCCGCGUGCAGGAAGAAGGGUCUCUGACUUGUAAACUGCUUUAGCAAGGGAAGAAAAAGCUCAUGCGUGAGAAAUUGACGGUACCUUGAGAAUAAGCACCGGCUAACUACGUGCCAGCCGCCGCGGUAAUAC
rnacentral:rRNA from 1 species